rnacentral:ncRNA from 2 species
AUAGUACUUACCAUUUUAGGUGCCUUUCGGGGAGAAUAGGGAAGUUCGGUUAAAGGCCGACGCGGACCCACCACUGUACUCGAUGAGCUUCGUUUAACCACUGGUGGUUUUCUACUGGGAAGGUGACGAGUUAGCAAUGAUUCGAUAGCCAGGAGACCUGCCUGAAAUGUUUAUGUCUU